AUGUUGUGCAGAAUUGAAAACCUCUCUUCUUUGCAAUGUAAGGAAUUGGAUCUGAUUUCGUUUGUUUGUAGCUACGUCAAUAUUGGGUUUACGGGAUUUGAUUUUAUAUCCAAAAAAACGAUAGGAUCGGAGGUAUCCUUAAACUAUCUAUAA